NNUAGUUAAUGAGCUUGAAUAAGCAUAUGUUUUGAAAACAUAAAAUAGAAAUCAUUUUUCUAUUAACUUAAUUAACAAAAU
rnacentral:tRNA from 1 species